UCUUUGUUCUAUCUCCUCAGCCAAAGAAGCCCUCUGUACCGUCCCUGUUCGUGCUCUCAGAUUUCUUAGCCAAAGUCUCUCUUCAACCUUUGUUUAUUUGAGGGCAGUGAGUAUCACUCCAUUAAUGGCGCAUCAACUUAUUCAGCUCUGUACGAGGCUGAUGCACAGUUAGCCUUUUUGUCCAAUCUUGAAGAAGAAAAAGGUGAAAUAGUAGCAGUGAUAUUAGAGGAUAGUGAUCUACUAGCAUACAUCAUCAAGAGAAGAAUUUUUAGAUCAAAAGCCUUUUGCAAUUGUCUCAUUCUCAUCACUAAAGCAGGAUCCCAUUUCAACAUUCUUCAACUUCAGAAUUUCCUCACAAGCAUCAGUCACUUGAUUUCAAAAGCUUGUACAAAGCUCUAUUCAUUGUGUAUGUAAGCUAAAUUAUAUUGUCCUCUUAAACAUUUUAUCUUACUAGUUUUGGUUAUUGUGGUGUAAGAAAGAUAUUGUAAACAGGGGGGUUGUUCUCGGUGAUUUAUUGUAAACAAAGGAAGUGAUAAGUGAAGAGCGUGUGACAAUAGUGAAAACACAUGUACUAAUCAUUUUGUAUUAGCGGAUCUUAAUUUGAGACAAAUCAUGUCACUAGA